CAAGGCGCCCCACGGCAGGCAAACAUGGUGCCCCAUGGCAGGCAAACAAGGUCCCCCAGCAUGCAGGUGGGAGCCAUGGAGAUGUCUCAGCCUCCACAGCCAUGGUUUCACACAUCAGCCAAAGUCAGUGAACUUCAGUGUCACAGAACAGGAGUGGUGCUUAUCAGCUUAAUAUCAAGUGAGCGGAAGAUGUUCUAAAAGAUCACAUACAGUGGGACACCCUCUGAAAGAAGAAAUCGCUGAACUUUGAACUUCAAAGGAAGCAGGAGAGAAGUGAGGAAUGUGGAAGAAGCCUUAAACCAGAAUCAGCACUGUUCUGGGAGCCUUUCCGUCCUCCGUGGGUCUGGUGGACUCAGUGCUGGCCCCGGUCACAGAAAGGACAACCUCCAUCUGAGCUGCGUUUUUAAAAAUCACGCCCAAUGAGGCUGAUGAACAUUCUAGCACAACCAAGACUUUUUAGCAGGGGUGCAGUUCCGUUUCAAUCACAAGCCAGAAGCCCCAUAAAGAAGACAUGA